GGGAGUGGCACGGCAAAGGGAAUUGCCCCUCAGGAGCAGAGGGUUAUGUCAGAGGGGAGGCGCGAACCAGGUCGCAUAGCACAUUCUAGGAUGUAAUGAGUGUGGAUUCUAUGUUGCCAUGGGAAGCCAGCAUCCUUGCACGAGGUGGUUAAGUGCUGAGAGAAGAUAAAUCAGAUUAAGGGGCUAGAGAGAGACUGGAAGCCUGGGGAAGCUAUUUGAAACAAACGGGCAGAGGAGCUCUCUCUGAGGAAGUGACUUUAGGGCUGAGUCUUGAAAUAUCUGAAGUAGCGACCAUGCAGAUUUCUGGGAUAAGCCAGUUCCAGGCAGAAAAAAUAGCACUGAAGUGGGAAUAAGCAUCACAUAUCCUGGAAAGAGCAAGAAGGUCAGCGUGGCCAGGGCACAAUACCAGAGGAAGCAGGGGGAGGAGGCCAGCCCUGUGGAGGCCGUGGGACGGUACUUGGCUUUUAUUCUAAAUACACUGGGAAGAUUUUCGAGGACUCUUGCUUGUUUUUCGAGGGAACUGGCUGAAAACCCAGUAGAUUUUGGUGGCUGUUCUUGACUAAGAAGAGUGUGGAACAAAGUCACAGAGCCACGGCCCCAGACAAGACCUGGAUGAAGCGCUACAGCCUGGUAGUGCCAAGACUGGGAGGGAAACAGAAGAGCACUAUGAGACAGAAUCCAGAAGCAAGGAGAGGAAGGAAAGGCCUUGGACCCCCUAAGGAGAAGGAGAAUGCACAUUUUUCCCCCUGGAUUGCAAAUAAUCUGAACCAGGGUAAAACCAUUACAAAGUGGCCUUCAAACAUCAUGUCUGUAUUGGAACUGAAUGAUUGAUCAGACAUUUAAAUACGGAAACUGGGAAUUCAGCUGACCAGAAUUUCACCAGGGUGACAUGACAGUUUGUUGCUAAGGAACUGAAGACUAUGUCAUAAGUGAGCAUUCUGAUGAAGAGGAGUGAACAGUUUGCAGCAGAUUGGAUAUUAAGUAUAAAUCAGCUCUCUGUGUAUGUCCUUGUGUGGUGGUAUAACUGACAACAGGUAGGGUUCCUGAUGGGAUUGGGUUCCACCAAUCAGAGCCACUUGCAUGAGACCUCAACUGAGAGCCAGGUGUUUGAAGAGGAGGGGCUCACUCUAAAUCUUGAAGAUGUUCAGCCUCGAAAAAGUAGAAGUCAUUGUGACCAAAGAUGAUGCCACCAUGCCUUUGAAAAAGAAAGGUGAUGAGCCUCAAAUGGAAAAAUACAUUCAAGAAAGGUCAAUGCUAAGAAAUAAAGAGAAAGAUGAAGAAAGGAUCACAUAAAGCUGAUGGGAAGAGAAUAAGGUGGACAUAGUAAGACAUCUGAGGCUGAAAAGGGAGGAAGUAGCAAGUGCACAGGAUGGAGCAGAGCAUGGGAAGAGCAUGGACCCAGCCCUGUGCCCCUAGGCUGGGUCAGCUCGGGGCUUCCAUUUCCUCCUCUGUAAAAUAUCUGCCUUUCAGGAUUAG
rnacentral:lncRNA from 1 species